rnacentral:rRNA from 1 species
CCUACGGGUGGCUGCAGUAGGGAAUUUUGCGCAAUGGGGGAAACCCUGACGCAGCAACGCCGCGUGAUUGAAGAAGCCUUUCGGGUUGUAAAGUUCUGUUAGUGGGGACGAAACUUGACGGUACCCACAGAGGAAGCAUCGGCUAACUCCGUGCCAGCAGCCGCGGUAAUACGGGGGAUGCAAGCGUUGUCCGGAAUCAUUGGGCGUAAAGAGUUCGUAGGUGGGACGUUAAGUCUGGUGUGAAAUGCAGAGGCUCAACCUCUGUUCGGCACUGGAUACUGGCGAGCUUGAAUGCGGUAGAGGUAGAGGGAAUUCCUGGUGUAGCGGUGAAAUGCGUAGAUAUCAGGAGGAACAUCAGUGGCGAAGGCGCUUUACUGGGCCGUAAUUGACACUGAGGAACGAAAGCCAGGGUAGCAAAUGGGAUUAGAUACCCCUGUAGUC